GAAGCUUUAUUCUUCUUGCUUUGCUUUGCUCUACUUUUCUUUAAAACUCCAAUCAGUUUCCUUCACAGACGCGCUAUCAGAGAGAAAUGAGAAUCUGGGAUUUCCUCAAGUCAAGCACAGAAGCAGUGAAGCGAAAUGUACUGGAUUUUAGUCCGGUUCGGGUGAAGACUGAAGAACGCCUUCCGAACCUCUUACAAUUACGGAUCCGCCGCCUGCACCAAGAUCGUUAAUGUCAUCGUAGGAAACAACCUCCAAAAGCUCAACCAGUGGUGUCUGGACGAUGUGGCCAAAUCUAAGAUCGGUAUCUUUGCUACAAGAUGUGCUAAAACUUUUGCCCUCAAUGCACUCUACGGGAGUUACAGAUAUUAUCCCGGUUUGCUUCCAUCUCAUAUACCACAGUUUCGUUUUAUUUUUUGUUUAUACUUUACCGAAAGGGAAAGACUGAGUAUUUUAUAUUUGCAUUUUAAUUUAAUCUUAAAAUGUCAACAAUAAGAGUGGUUCAUUCAUUUAUAUGUUAGAUCUAUAUUUUGAUGAUUAAUCGAAAUAAAAUUUAUCUUUUAACAAGUAAGACGGUGAUUCGUUUGAGUAGGCUAAUUUUUAAAUUUUUAUGCUCAAUAUUCGAGUCUUUAUCAAAUCAAGUUAUGUGUUUCAACCUAAUGGACUUUGGUACCAAGUCCGUCUUAAAAUUUCUUAUAUGUUGGUCUAUUUAUUAGUUGAUGUUCCUUAACACAGCUAACUUAAAGAGUGUUGCUAACUUGAUCGGCCGAUUGGGGUUGUCAACUAUACGUUACAUAAAGAUUUCUCUGUGCAACCCUUCUUCUUCUUCUCUUACUUCAUUUCUCUUUGUAAUGAAACCCUAAAGUCUAUAUUGUCAUUCCCUUGAACACUCAUUUUGUUAAAGUGGUAAUUAAAAUUUACAACAUUUUUAUUGGGCAUGUGGAGAAAAAGAGAGUAUUAUUAAAUUUCAAUAUUUGGGUGACUUUUUUCUCCAUUUUUUUGGAAUCAUUUCUUUAUUUCAAUAAUGACUUUGAAUUCAUUUUAUCAUUGGACUAAAGGUUUGAUAUGGAUUGCUACCCAACUCGAUCUUAUUACCCUAUUAGUUGAAGUGAAAUGUGUUCUAUUUGUUGAUUUUACAGUGAAAUACGCAUUACAGAAUGACUUACAUAUUGGUUUUUGCAAUUUAUAAAGACAUUCAUCUCGUUAUUAGUAUUGUAUGAAGUUUGACGAAAUUUUAAAAUGUUAAUGUUGAAUUGUAGUUAUGGACACUGUGGAAAUGGUAUGGAUAUCAGUUUGCUAUCCAAUUAAAUAUGAGCAGUCAAUUGAAGGUGUAUGGAGAUGGAAAUAUACAGAAAAUGGCAAAGGAGAAACAACGCCUAUUCUUGUUUUGGAAACAAUUUCUUAUGCAAAAUUGUAUGAUAAAGUCAAAGAGGUGUUGGAAAUCGAUACAAAUCUAUACAAAAUGGAGAUGUCAGCUCUUGUCCCUAUAAUGCGUGAGGCUCCAGCAGCACCGAUCAUCAUUGAUUGUGACAACAAUGUGAAGUGGUUUGUAUCUGUAUGUACGGAAACUUUUCUUUGCGUAACCAUUUCAAAAGAAAUUGAAAAUCACGAAGAAUUUGGUGAUGAUGAUGUUUAUUGCAAAUUGAGGGUGAAAAACAAUUUGGACAUAUGAAAAGCGAGGAGAACAUGUUCAAAUGGACGACGAUGUAACCAUGCCAAUGUUCAUUCCAUUUGCAUUAUUCCAUUUGCAUUGGCCAAGUAGCGGUUGUGACCCUUAAGGUUGUAAUAUUGUUGUGACUUGUAACUUUAUUGUUUUUUACUGUAUAAAACGACUUUAUCAUUGUUAUGUUGCUUUUUCAUGAUGUUAUUGCUUUCGUAUUAUUGGAACGAUGUUAAAGUCAUUUUACAUAGC
rnacentral:lncRNA from 1 species